UCUUCCUACGGGGGGCAGCAGUAGGGAAUCUUCCACAAUGGGCGAAAGCCUGAAGGAGCAACGCCGCGUGUGUGAUGAAGGCUUUCGGGUCGUAAAGCACUGUUGUAUGGGAAGAACAGCUAGAAUAGGGAAUGAUUUUAGUUUGACGGUACCAUACCAGAAAGGGACGGCUAAAUACGUGCCAGCAGCCGCGGUAAUACGUAUGUCCCGAGCGUUAUCCGGAUUUAUUGGGCGUAAAGCGAGCGCAGACGGUUGAUUAAGUCUGUUGUGAAAGCCCGGCGCUCAACUCCG
rnacentral:rRNA from 1 species